AUGGAGCUCAGAGAUGGGUUUGUUCGACCAGACGACAAGCUGCUAGUCUCAACCCUGUUGAACAGAAGUGUACGAUCUAUUGAAAGAAUCUGGGAAGACGCCAAAAAGCAAAUUGCCGAUGGCAAAGAAAUAGAUGGCUCAAGCAAGAAGCCAGGAAGAUCUGGCUGAAAGAGAAAGCAGCUGGAUCUAGCGAGGACCUCAACAAUCCCACUGAAUAAAAGAAGGACAAUUCGAUCUCUGGCAUGGUCUCUAGGUGUGGCCCGAUCGACCCUACAUAAGAGGUUCCAGUUGAAUGAGCUCAACCGCAUCACAAGCAUUGUGAAGCCUCAUCUUAAGCCAGAGAACAAGCUUGCGAGAUUGAAAUUUUGUAUGUCCAUGCUCGAUGACCAUUUGAUCUCAACUUCUCGGGCUAUGUUUAAGCCAAUGACCAAUAUGGUUCACAUCGAUGAAAAGUGGUUUGACAUGACGAGAGUGAAGAAUAGUUACUAUGUACUUCCAGGAGAACCUGAGCCCAAGUGCACCGUGUCAAACACUCACAUCAUUGGGAAGGUAAUGUUCCUAACAGCUGUGGCCAGGCCUCGAUAUAACAAUGAGGGGGAGCUAACAUGA
rnacentral:rRNA from 1 species